CAGCCGCCGCGGGAAUACGUAGGUGGCAAGCGUUGUCCGGAAUUAUUGGGCGUAAAGGGCUCGCAGGCGGUUUCUUAAGUCUGAUGUGAAAGCCCCCGGCUCAACCGGGGAGGGUCAUUGGAAACUGGGAAACUUGAGUGCAGGAGAGGAGAGUGGAAUUCCACGUGUAGCGGUGAAAUGCGUAGAGAUGUGGAGGAACACCAGUGGCGAAGGCGGCUCUCUGGUCUGUAACUGACGCUGAGGAGCGAAAGCGUGGGGAGCGAACAGGAUUAGAUACCCCCGUAGUCCCUGUCUCUUAUAC
rnacentral:rRNA from 1 species